AUUGAACGCUGGCGGCAGGCUUAACACAUGCAAGUCGAGCGAGCGGCGGCCGGGUGAGUAAGGUCUGGGAAACUGCCUGAUGGAGGGGGGUAACUACUGGAAACGGUAGUCAAUACAGCAUACCAUCAGAUGUGCACAGAUGGGAUUAGCUAGUAGGUGGGGUAAUGGCUCACCUGGGCGACGAUCCCUAGCUGGUCUGAGAGGAUGACCAGCCACACGGGACCUGGUACACGGUCCAGACUCCAACGGAGGGCAGCGGUGGGGAAUAUUGCACAAUGGGCGCAAGCCUGAUGCAGCCAUGCCGCGUGUGUGAAGAAGGCCUUCGGGUUGUAAAGCACUUUCAGCGAGGAGGCGUUACUCGCAGAAGAAGCACCGGCUAACUCCGUGCCAGCAGCCGCGGUAAUAC
rnacentral:rRNA from 1 species